rnacentral:lncRNA from 1 species
UUGCUUCCAUUCUAAAUUGAUAAACUUAAUACAAUGUAGAAAAAACCGUCAUUAGGAUCCUAUAAUAAAUAAUGUAUCAUAGGCUACAUUGACAAACAAAAUCCAGAAUCAUAGAGAACUUUAACAAAAUUUAACCAGAAGCAUUCAUCAUAAGCAGUUCAUAAAAAAAAUCCAAAACUGAGAAUAACAGAACCUAAGCCUCAGUAACAGGGUACUCAAACACAACAUCUUUGCCUGAAAGUUUCCUGUAAACUGCAGAAAAGGUCUCAAGCUUGUAUUCAGUAUUGUUUCUCUCCUUUGGGUCCAAAAACACCUGUAUACACAGAACCACAAGAAUUCAAUUAACACUAUUUCUUAGUCUUUUUAAUCGAAAUAUAUUUUUUAUUUAAGAUUUGUGUAACUUAUGGAAGUUGUUUGGCUAUAACUAUAGUUUACCUUCAUUAUCUUGGAUCCAUCAAUUCUGUAUCUAGUACGUUUGCCAACAAUCUCAGCAGGUAACACGACAUCCUCGAGCAUUGCCUCGUGGACAGCAGUGAGUGUACGGCUGCGUGGACGCUGAGCAGCAGAGCCUUUCUUUGGAGGCCUGACGAUUCUCCUGGUGGCAAUGAGGAUCACAUCCUACAAGUUACAAGUUGAAGGUUCAUAAGAAUACAAUAAAAUGAAGCAUCGCAAACAAAACCGAGAACAAAAUUUUCAUGGCUAUUGUUUGGUUUCAUCAAAUUAUUCAGAGUAUGUUUGGUUUGGCUUCUACUCACGACCACCACAAGAUUACAAGGCAUUAAUUAGAACAUGAAAAGAGAAGCUACAAAGUGGAGUUUCCAUGUAAUAGUGAGUUUUUGCUGUGAUUUUGCAAACUGUGACGCCAAACCAAACACACGCACACUUCAGCUGAAUAGAACUACUCCAAGUAAAUAUAAAUUAAAGCAAUUUAAAAACCAAGCGGGUUGCAAAAUAGAUGAAAAAGACUAGUAGUUCUUCCAAAUAAGGACAAAGAAAUUGGAACCAAGAACUGUCGGUUUACAGAAUCGUGACAACAGAUGUUACAGUUAGAAACAAUAACUCGCAGUCUAAUGAAUCGAUAAGAACAAAGGUAUACAAGACUUUGCUUACCUUGCCACUGAAUUUCUUCUCAAGCUCCCUAACGAGCCUGACAUGAAUUUUGCGGAAACCCUUCCUCAAUCUGUAGGGGACAUGGAUAACCACAGCCUUGCGGUUGCCAGAAACAUCAACUUGGCUGUAGGUAACAGAAAAUGAUAGACAUGACUCAUGAGACUCGGAGAAAACAGAAGUAUUUUCAAACAAACCAUAAAGAACGCAUCCUUACACUGCAGAAUUGAUGUAUAAAUCUUUCAGCUCACUUUUGAGCUCAUGGUUUGUGUUUUCCAGAUCAAACAAAGCCUGCAACAACAAAUUGAAAACAAAUAAUGAUUUAGAAUUUGUCAUAAUUGAGACUAAUCAGCAAUCACAGAAAAAACAAUAAUCCGUGGUAAUCAAUAUAUAACCUGUCCAACUGACUCCUCAAAUUCAGUAGGCUCGGCACCCUUGUCUUUGCUGAUUUUCUUCCUUGAAGUAAACAUCUUCACAAGUCACAACUGUAGGCAAAGAAGAAAAUAAAUUUAGUAAAAGCUUAAACAACAAUAAAAGCUGAAGAAGCAAAUUCAUCAUCAGAAAUACCACACUGAUAUAAAAAUUGUGAAGAAACAAGAUCCAUAAACCGCAAAUUGAGAACAAAACUCACGAGUACCAAACAAAAAAACUGAAGUCGUUUAAUCACAUAAUAAUCAAGUAAAAAUCUGAUAGAUUUUGUUCCCCGACGUCCAAUUACAACAUCAUAAUUGCAGUAGUGGAUAGCGAGGGGAACGCAAUUAUAGGCUUCAAUUAAACAUUGCAAACACAUGAAAAGUGCAGGCAUAAAUUAAAUCAAAAUCAGAAGCCACAAAAUAUGGAAAAGAAAUCAACAAAAACGAAGAUUUAAAAUCCAAACAUAUAAACAACAGAAACAUUAACAAGAAAAAUGGGAAAAUAACUGGUUAACUCAGUCCCUUAGAUGUUCAUAAAAUCUGCGAUCAUACCCGCAAAUCAUUACAGGUCUGUUAAAGACUCAUCACUGUUAACUAGCACAGCCCAAUUUUCUCAAAUGAUUCAAAAUCGAUAAAAGCAUCAAUCAAAAACGAUUUUUCAUAAAAAUUUACAAUUUAGUUGUUCUUGCGUUCUCCCAAAACCAAAAAAAGGGAUUGUGGAAGUGAAUUGAAAGAACAACACAUAUUACUAUUGCUUCAAGGGAACGAGUCUGAAUGGGAAUUGAAUUAAUCCGCAUCGACCAGAUAGUGAAGCCUACUAUUACACCGUAGAUUCCAAGUUCAAUGAUACAGUAAUCGCAGUAGACUAAAUGUAAUUGGAACAAAUGCAAGCAAUAAGCUAUGAAUUAACGAUGCUUUAACAAAUGAAAAAACAAACAGAAUAAGAACACCUUAUAGUUAACACAUAAUGUGAUAUAACAAUCUCAACUAAGAACCUAUUUGGAUUGACUUAUUUGAGCUUUUCUACUGGCAUUAUUUCAUGAGACAGUUUGGGGGAACUUAUGACAAUUUUCACAAUCUUUUCAGCUUAUUUUCAUAACUUCUCCAAUAUAGCAUAUACAAAAAGAGAUUAACUUUGGGCAUGUUUGGAUAAACAGUUGGCUUAUUUGCAGCUUCUAGCACAAGUGCUUAUCAAUAUAAGCAUUUGUGUGUAAGCUUGCAUAAGCUAUUUUUUCAUAAGCGCUUAUAAUGAUAAGCACUUUUUCUAUAAGCUGCAAAUAAGUAAUUUAUCCAAACAGCCCUAAAAUUCAUGUCAGAUCAUAAAUCAACAAAACCAACUAAUUAACGAUAACAAUCAAUACCAAAAAAUUGAUAAAAUUGCAACAACAAAAACAACCCAUUUUCUUAAUUUCAAAUGCAAGUUCUAUAAAACCCUAACAAAAGCAAAAAAAACUCAAAACCAUCAAAUCAUUAUACAAAAAAAAGGUUUAGAGAGAAGCUAAAAAUGAGAACUUUGAAUUCAAUUAACAUGGAUUUUACAUGAGAAAUCAGAUAGAGCAAUAAAUUGUAAAAGGGUAUCUGAAUUGUACCUUAGCUGAAGAAGAUGCAGAUGCAAACUCCGGCUGCUGAGUGCUUGCUGUGUGAC